rnacentral:rRNA from 1 species
UACGUAGGUCCCAAGCGUUGUCCGGAUUUAUUGGGCGUAAAGCGAGCGCAGGUGGUUUCUUAAGUCUGAUGUAAAAGGCAGUGGCUCAACCAUUGUGUGCAUUGGAAACUGGGAGACUUGAGUGCAGGAGAGGAGAGUGGAAUUCCAUGUGUAGCGGUGAAAUGCGUAGAUAUAUGGAGGAACACCGGAGGCGAAAGCGGCUCUCUGGCCUGUAACUGACACUGAGGCUCGAAAACGUGGGGAGCAAACAGG